rnacentral:lncRNA from 1 species
CAUCUUUCAUUAGCUGGAGAAAAGGGAACACUCUCAUGCUCUGAACAGCAGCAGCACUGUGAGGAUAACCCCAGUGUGGGCAGGGGGCUGACUCAUCUCUCCAGAAGAUUAACACUGUUUAUUAAUCACUGCUCCUUUGAAGUAAAGAAAUGGAGAAAACCUCUCGUGGCCAAUGUUUUGAUUAACCAUCGAAUUGUUCUACUGGUAUGUUUGCUUAAGGGGCUUUCUUUGCUCUGUGUACACUAAGAAAUAGUUUCUCAUCCUACCGUUGUUUCACCCAGAUGAUAGUCAUUAGUAGUGUACCAGACAUACCCAUUGUAUAGGCCGUGUCCUGACCUUUUUUUCCCCCCUAAGUCACUGGGUCCA